CGGGCGACCGGCGCGACGGGUGAGUAACGCGUAUGCAACUUACCUAUCAGGAGGGGAUAACCCGGCGAAAGUCGGACUAAUACCGCAUGAAGCAGGGGCCCCGCAUGGGGAUAUUUGCUAAAGAUUCAUCGCUGAUAGAUAGGCAUGCGUUCCAUUAGGCAGUUGGCGGGGUAACGGCCCACCAAACCGACGAUGGAUAGGGGUUCUGAGAGGAAGGUCCCCCACAUUGGUACUGAGACACGGACCAAACUCCUACGGAAGGCAGCAG
rnacentral:rRNA from 1 species